AACGCUGGCGGCGUGCUUAACACAUGCAAGUCGAACGGAACUCUUUGGAUCAAGACUUCGGUCAAGUGAGAUUGAGUUAGUGGCGGACGGGUGAGUAACGCGUGAGGAACCUGCCUUUCAGAGGGGGGACAACAGUUGGAAACGACUGCUAAUACCGCAUAACGCGUAGAGAUCGCAUGGUCUUUACGCCAAAGAUUUAUCGCUGAGAGAUGGCCUCGCGUCUGAUUAGCUAGUUGGUGAGGUAACGGGCCCACCAAGGCAACGAUCAGUAGCCGGACUGAGAGGUUGACCGGCCACAUUGGGACUGAGAUACGGCCCAGACUCCUACGGGAGGCAGCAGUGGGAAUAUCGGGCAAUGGGCGCAAGCCUGACCCAGCAACGCCGCGUGAAGGAAGAAGGCUUUCGGGUUGUAAACUUCUUUUGUCGAGGAAGAGUAGAAGACUGUACUCGGCGAAUAAGCCACGGCUAACUACGUG
rnacentral:rRNA from 1 species